GAGUUUGAUCAUGGCUCAGGGUAAACGCUGGCGGCGUGCCUAAAACAUGCAAGUCGAACGAGAGCUUCGGCUCUAGUGGCAGACGGCUGAGUAACGCGUGGGUGACAUACCCGUUGGUGGGAAUAACUGCCCGAAAGGGUGGCUAAUACCGCAUACGCCCGUUGGUUCAUUCCGAUGGGGAAAGUCGCAAGACGCCGAUGGACUGGCCCGCGUUCGAUUAGCUUGUUGGUGGGGUAACGGCCUACCAAGGCGACGAUCGAUAGCUGGUCUCAGAGGAUGAUCAGCCAGACUGGGACUGAGACACGGCCCAGACUCCUACGGGAGGCAGCAGUUAGGAAUUUUGGGCAAUGGGCGAAAGCCUGACCCAGCAACGCCG
rnacentral:rRNA from 1 species